CAUAGUGGGCCUUGUGUCGCUGCUGCUGCAGCCCGAGGGUGCCCUGGGCGAGGAGCUGCAAGUGCCACAGCCCAGGGCCGCCAGUUGGCUGAACUUAGGCUCCUUCAAGAAGUACAUGGGGAAGCUCUUCAACAGCAGCCCGAAGAAAUCUAAAAACCACAAGAAAACUGCGAACGCCACGAACGCCUCCCCAUCGAAAGGCACGAAAUACCCUCCAUGGACCACCACGAACCCCCAGUGGCUGAAUACCUCGGAACCCCGACCACCGACCUCCUCCCGGGGCCCCAGGUAGGACAGCCUGGACGCUCGGCACCGAGCCAGGGGCCUCGGGACUGGGGGAAGCUUGGGUGAUAGCGAGAGGAAGCUCCUGGGGGCGGGCAUUCGGGGAGACACAGCGCCCCGGCGGGGGAGCUUCGUUCUCCAGGCUGGGCCUUGGCCUCCAGACGCCUCUCUCCCACCAACCCCUUUAUAUUGAGAGGGGCCUCAACCCCUCCUCAUCCCCUCAGUGGAAACAAUAAAGACAAAUUUCUGUUGC